rnacentral:rRNA from 1 species
UACGAAGGGGGGCUAGCGUUGCUCGGAAUCACUGGGCGUAAAGGGUGCGUAGGCGGGUCUUUUAAGUCAGGGGGUGAAAAUCCUGGAGCUCAACUCCAGAACUGCCUUUGAUACUGAGGAUCUUGAGUUCGGGAGAGGUGAGUGGAACUGCGAGUGUAGAGGUGAAAAUUCGUAGAUAUUCGCAAGAACACCAGUGGCGAAGGCGGCUCACUGGCCCGAUCU